GGCGGACGGCUCAUUAACACGUGGUUAACAUACCCUCAGGUGGGGGAUAACCUUGGGAAACUGAGGAUAAUACCCCAUAGAAAAAGCAGUCUGGAGCGAUUCUUUUUCGAAAGCAUAUGCGCCUGAGGAUUGGACUGCGCUCGAUUAGGUAGUUGGUGGGGUAAUGGCCCACCAAGCCUACGAUCGGUACGGGCCUUGAGAGAGGAAGCCCGGAGAUGGGGACUGAGACACGGCCCCAGGCCCUACGGGGCGCAGCAGGCGCGAAACCUCCGCAAUGCACGAAAGUGCGACGGGGGGAUCCCAAGUGCUCAUGCACAGCAUGGGCUUUUAUCAAGUGUAAACAGCUUGAGGAAUAAGGGCUGGGCAAGUUCGGUGCCAGCAGCCGCGGUAACACCGACGGCCCGAGUGGUGGCCACUUUUAUUGGGCCUAAAGCGUCCGUAGCCGGUCCAGUAAGCCCUUGUUUAAAUCCUGCGGCUUAACCGCAGGACUGGCAGGGAUACUGCUGGACUUGGGACCGGGAGAGGACAAGGGUACUUCAGGGGUAGCGGUGAAAUGUGUUGAUCCUUGAAGGACCACCUAUGGCGAAGGCACUUGUCUGG
rnacentral:rRNA from 1 species